rnacentral:rRNA from 1 species
CCUAAGGUAGCGAAAUUCCUUGUCGGGUAAGUUCCGACCUGCACGAAUGGCAUAAUGAUGGCAGCGCUGUCUCCACCCGAGACUCAGUGAAAUUGAAAUCGCUGUGAAGAUGCAGCGUUCCCGUGGCAAGACGGAAAGACCCCGUGAACCUUUACUACAGCUUUACAUUGAACUUUGACCUGACUUGUGCAGGAUAGGUGGGAGGCUUUGAAGCAGAUACGCCAGUAUUUGUGGAGCCAUCCUUGAAAUACCACCCUGGUCAUGUUGGGGUUCUAACUCAGGUAUAACAAUACCGAGGAC